rnacentral:rRNA from 1 species
AGAGUUUGAUCAUGGCUCAGGACGAACGCUGGCGGCGCGCCUAACACAUGCAAGUCGAACGAGCGAGAGAGAGCUUGCUUUCUCGAGCGAGUGGCGAACGGGUGAGUAACGCGUGAGGAACCUGCCUCAAAGAGGGGGACAACAGUUGGAAACGACUGCUAAUACCGCAUAAGCCCACGGGUCGGCAUCGACCAGAGGGAAAAGGAGCAAUCCGCUUUGAGAUGGCCUCGCGUCCGAUUAGCUAGUUGGUGAGGUAACGGCCCACCAAGGCGACGAUCGGUAGCCGGACUGAGAGGUUGAACGGCCACAUUGGGACUGAGACACGGCCCAGACUCCUACGGGAGGCAGCAGUGGGGAAUAUUGCACAAUGGGGGAAACCCUGAUGCAGCGACGCCGCGUGGAGGAAGAAGGUCUUCGGAUUGUAAACUCCUGUUGUUGAGGAAGAUAAUGACGGUACUCGACAAGGAAGUGACGGCUAACUACGUGCCAGCAGCCGCGGUAAAACGUAGGUCACAAGCGUUGUCCGGAAUUACUGGUGUAAAGGGAGCGCAGGCGGGAAGACAAGUUGGAAGUGAAAUCCAUGGGCUUAACCCAUGAACUGCUUUCAAAACUGUUUUUCUUGAGUAGUGCAGAGGUAGGCGGAAUUCCCGGUGUAGCGGUGGAAUGCGUAGAUAUCGGGAGGAACACCAGUGGCGAAGGCGGCCUACUGGGCACCAACUGACGCUGAGGCUCGAAAGUGUGGGUAGCAAACAGGAUUAGAUACCCUGGUAGUCCACACUGUAAACGAUGAUUACUAGGUGUUGGAGGAUUGACCCCUUCAGUGCCGCAGUUAACACAAUAAGUAAUCCACCUGGGGAGUACGACCGCAAGGUUGAAACUCAAAGGAAUUGACGGGGGCCCGCACAAGCAGUGGAGUAUGUGGUUUAAUUCGACGCAACGCGAAGAACCUUACCAAGUCUUGACAUCCGUUGACCGCUGUAGAAAUACAGUUUUCCUUCGGGACAGCGAGACAGGUGGUGCAUGGUUGUCGUCAGCUCGUGUCGUGAGAUGUUGGGUUAAGUCCCGCAACGAGCGCAACCCUUAUGGUCAGUUACUACGCAAGAGGACUCUGGCCAGACUGCCGUUGACAAAACGGAGGAAGGUGGGGAUGACGUCAAAUCAUCAUGCCCUUUAUGACUCGGGCUACACACGUACUACAAUGGCGUUAAACAAAGA